AGCCUGUGCCUUUGGAUCAGGCUUUUUUGAACUGUCAGCUGCACAUAUAGCACAUAUGCUAAACAAUCAAGGAAAAGGAAAAUCCAUAAACAUGCAUCCACCGCAUUAUAGCUAUAACCCUCCCUGUAUUAAGAAAAUAUGGGUGGGAAUUAUCAUAAAUGCAGGGCCAUCUUCAACAAUGCUAAUUAAACUUGUAUUCCCAAGACGUAAAAAAACUAUAAAAGCACAGUACUUAGCAAUGAAACAAAGUCUCUGUGAACAAUACAAAGAUGAAGAACCAAUUAGAAAUAUCUAAAUAUAGGAGGACACCAUUUCCAAUUACUCAUAGCACUCAGUACUUUCUCUCAUCCAUUCAUUUAUCCAAAGUAAAUCAUAGUUAGCAGAUAGCAAGUACAAGCCUCUCCUAGUCAAGCCUAUUUUUGGGUAAAAAUUUAGUUCAAAAGAAACAAACGCAAGAAGCCCUUUAAAAGAAAAACUUGAAACCAGCAUAACAACAUGCUGAACACAACAUAAUCACAUGGCUCACACACACUCAUUUUUCAUUAUUCAAUAUUUACCAAACCAUAAAGCCCAAUCUUUUUUCUAAUCCUUCUCAUUGCAAACAUCAUUUAUUAAAAAAAAUUAUGAUUACAGCCAUAUAAAGAUGAAAUGAACUUGUAUAACUAAAAUAUGCAUUCCUGGCCACUGCACUUUUGCAUUUUGGAGACAAAAACAGAAAGAAGGUAAUAGAAAAUUCUUUAGACGAGCCACAACUAAUCAAUACAACAUCACAAAUCAUGGUUCUAUCAUGCUUAAAGAAGGGACAUGGGCCUAAAAUCAUACCUUUCCCCGGCGCCAUUGCAACUAAUCCACAAUAAGCUUUCGCUAAACGCUUCUAAUUGCUUGAAA
rnacentral:misc_RNA from 1 species